AUACGUAGGUGGCAAGCGUUGUCCGGAAUUAUUGGGCGUAAAGCGCAUGUAGGCGGUUUGGUAAGUCGGUCGUGAAAAUGCGGUGCUUAACGCCGUAUGGCGAUUGAAACUGCUGAACUUGAGUGCAGGAGAGGAAAGGGGAACUCCCAGUGUAGCGGUGAAAUGCGUAGAUAUUGGGAAGAACACCGGCGGCGAAGGCGCCUUUCUGGACUGUGUCUGACGCUCAGAUGCGAAAGCCAGGGUAGCGAACGGGAUUAGAUACCCCGGUAGUCCUGGCCGUAAACGAUGGGUACUAGGUGUGGGAGGUAUCGACUCCUUCCGUGCCGGAGUUAACGCAAUAAGUACCCCGCCUGGGGAGUACGGCCGCAAGGCUUAAACUCAAAUGAAUUGACGGGG
rnacentral:rRNA from 1 species